rnacentral:lncRNA from 1 species
CCAUCAGGUAGAGGGUCACUCAGAGUCAGGAGGAAUUUGUUGCGAGGAGUAGUGGAGUGGACCUGUGGCCCCUACUGCAGCGCGUCACGUGGAGUCUGCCGCAGGGAGUGGAGCGGCGUCCGUUAUCGCGACUCGCCAGAGGGUGGAAGAAUCGCGCAGUAUCCAUUACAGAAGGUGGAGCAGGAUCGUGGGCACCAUAGCGGUCUGCCAGGGAAUAGUGGAGCUGCGUGGGAUCCGUCGCAGGAGGUGGAGCAGAGUCAUGGCUGUCAUAGCGAUCUGUCAGGGAAUGACGGAGCUGCGCGGACUC